rnacentral:tRNA from 1 species
AGAGAUUUAGUUUAUUAAAAUAUAGGGUUGUCAUUCCUAAGAAGCCUUUAGGGCAUUCUCUU